CCGCAGCUUAUCUACGGCCAGUACUUUC
rnacentral:sRNA from 1 species